UACGUAGGCAGCAAGCGUUGUUCGGAGUUACUGGGCGUAAAGGGUGUGUAGGCGGUUGUUUAAGUUUGGUGUGAAAUCUCCCAGCUUAACUGGGAGGGGUUAUGCCAGACUGCCAUUCUAGAGUGCGAGAGAGGAACGUGGAAUUCCGGGUGUAGUGGUGAAGUGCGUAGAGAUCCGGAGGAACCCCAGAGGCGAAGGCGGCGUUCUGGCUCGCAACUGACGCUCAGACACGACAGCAUGGGGAGCGAACGGG
rnacentral:rRNA from 1 species